rnacentral:tRNA from 1 species
GCUUUCCUGUGGCUUAGUUGGUAGAGCAUUGCGCUAACAACGCAAAGGUUGUGGGUUCAAAUCCCUGGGAAAGCA